UACGAAGGGGGCUAGCGUUGCUCGGAAUCACUGGGCGUAAAGGGUGCGUAGGCGGGUUUUUAAGUCAGGGGUGAAAUCCUGGAGCUCAACUCCAGAACUGCCUUUGAUACUGAAGAUCUUGAGUCCGGGAGAGGUGAGUGGAACUGCGAGUGUAGCGGUGAAAUGCGUAGAUAUUGGGAGGAACACCAGUGGCGAAGGCGGCUCACUGGACCGGUACUGACGCUGAGGCGCGAAAGCGUGGGGAGCAAACGGG
rnacentral:rRNA from 1 species